rnacentral:rRNA from 1 species
UCAGGACGAACGCUGGCGGCGUGCUUAACACAUGCAAGUCGAACGGAAAGGCCCUGCUUUUGUGGGGUGCUCGAGUGGCGAACGGGUGAGUAACACGUGAGUAACCUGCCCUUGACUUUGGGAUAACUUCAGGAAACUGGGGCUAAUACCGGAUAGGAGCUCCUGCUGCAUGGUGGGGGUUGGAAAGUUUCGGCGGUUGGGGAUGGACUCGCGGCUUAUCAGCUUGUUGGUGGGGUAGUGGCUUACCAAGGCUUUGACGGGUAGCCGGCCUGAGAGGGUGACCGGCCACAUUGGGACUGAGAUACGGCCCAGACUCCUACGGGAGGCAGCAGUGGGGAAUAUUGCACAAUGGGCGGAAGCCUGAUGCAGCAACGCCGCGUGCGGGAUGACGGCCUUCGGGUUGUAAACCGCUUUCGCCUGUGACGAAGCGUGAGUGACGGUAAUGGGUAAAGAAGCACCGGCUAACUACGUGCCAGCAGCCGCGGUGAUACGUAGGGUGCGAGCGUUGUCCGGAUUUAUUGGGCGUAAAGGGCUCGUAGGUGGUUGAUCGCGUCGGAAGUGUAAUCUUGGGGCUUAACCCUGAGCGUGCUUUCGAUACGGGUUGACUUGAGGAAGGUAGGGGAGAAUGGAAUUCCUGGUGGAGCGGUGGAAUGCGCAGAUAUCAGGAGGAACACCAGUGGCGAAGGCGGUUCUCUGGGCCUUUCCUGACGCUGAGGAGCGAAAGCGUGGGGAGCGAACAGGCUUAGAUACCCUGGUAGUCCACGCUGUAAACGGUGGGUACUAGGUGUGGGGUCCAUUCCACGGGUUCCGUGCCGUAGCUAACGCUUUAAGUACCCCGCCUGGGGAGUACGGCCGCAAGGCUAAAACUCAAAGGAAUUGACGGGGCCCCGCACAAGCGGCGGAGCAUGCGGAUUAAUUCGAUGCAACGCGUAGAACCUUACCUGGGUUUGACAUGGAUCGGGAGUGCUCAGAGAUGGGUGUGCCUCUUUUGGGGUCGGUUCACAGGUGGUGCAUGGCUGUCGUCAGCUCGUGUCGUGAGAUGUUGGGUUAAGUCCCGCAACGAGCGCAACCCUUGUUCACUGUUGCCAGCACGUUAUGGUGGGGACUCAGUGGAGACCGCCGGGGUCAACUCGGAGGAAGGUGGGGAUGACGUCAAGUCAUCAUGCCCCUUAUGUCCAGGGCUUCACGCAUGCUACAAUGGCUGGUACAGAGAGUGGCGAGCCUGUGAGGGUGAGCGAAUCUCGGAAAGCCGGUCUCAGUUCGGAUUGGGGUCUGCAACUCGACCUCAUGAAGUCGGAGUCGCUAGUAAUCGCAGAUCAGCAACGCUGCGGUGAAUACGUUCCCGGGGCUUGUACACACCGCCCGUCAAGUCAUGAAAGUUGGUAACACCCGAAGCCGGUGGCCUAACCGUUGUGGGGGAGCCGUCGAAGGUGGGACUGGUG